rnacentral:rRNA from 1 species
GGGAAACUGCCCGAUGGAGGGGGAUAACUACUGGAAACGGUAGCUAAUACCGCAUAACGUCGCAAGACCAAAGUGGGGGACCUUCGGGCCUCACACCAUCGGAUGUGCCCAGAUGGGAUUAGCUAGUAGGUGGGGUAAUGGCUCACCUAGGCGACGAUCCCUAGCUGGUCUGAGAGGAUGACCAGCCACACUGGAACUGAGACACGGUCCAGACUCCUACGGGAGGCAGCAGUGGGGAAUAUUGCACAAUGGGCGUAAGCCUGAUGCAGCCAUGCCGCGUGUAUGAAGAAGGCCUUCGGGUUGUAAAGUACUUUCAGCGGGGAGGAAGGCGGUGGAGUUAAUAGCUUCACCGAUUGACGUUACCCGCAGAAGAAGCACCGGCUAACUCCGUGCCAGCAGCCGCGGUAAUACGGAGGGUGCAAGCGUUAAUCGGAAUUACUGGGCGUAAAGCGCACGCAGGCGGUCUGUCAAGUCGGAUGUGAAAUCCCCGGGCUUAACCUGGGAACUGCAUUCGAAACUGGCAGGCUAGAGUCUUGUAGAGGGGGGUAGAAUUCCAGGU